rnacentral:rRNA from 1 species
UCGUAGUGAACUGCGCGAAGGAUCAUUGUCGUGACCCUGACAAAACAGACCGUGAAUGCGUCAUCUUGACCUGCCAGCGGUGGCCUUGCCGUCGCUUGGCCAAAGUCCUCGAUAACCUCCUCUUCUCGGAGCGGGGGCUCGGGGUAAAAGAACCCACGGCGCCGAAGGCGUCAAGGAACACUGUGCCUAACCCGGGGAAGCGGCUGGCUUGCUAGCUGCCCCUCGUGUUGCAAAGCUAUUUAAUCCACACGACUCUCGGCAACGGAUAUCUCGGCUCUCGCAUCGAUGAAGAACGUAGCGAAAUGCGAUACCUGGUGUGAAUUGCAGAAUCCCGCGAACCAUCGAGUCUUUGAACGCAAGUUGCGCCCGAGGCCACUUGGCCGAGGGCACGCCUGCCUGGGCGUCACGCCAAACACGCUCCCACCUCUCAUCGGGUGGUGGGAUGCGGCAUGUGGCUCCCCGUCUCGCAAGGGGCGGUGGGCCGAAGAUGCGGCUGCCGGCGUAUCGUGCCGGACACAGCGCGUGGUGGGCGAACUCGUUUUACUUACCGCAGUGCAUCCGGCCCGUACCCGACGUGAUGGCCUUAAGGACCCAAUGAAUGGAGCGCAUGACGCUCUGACCGCGACCCCAGUCAGCGGAUCCC